rnacentral:rRNA from 1 species
AUACGAAGGGUGCAAGCGUUGUCCGGAUUCACUGGGUGUAAAGGGUGUGUAGGCGGGGCGGUAUGUGAGAGGUGAAAGCCCACGGCUCAACCGUGGAAUUGCCUUUGAAACUGCCGUUCUUGAGUCUCGGAGAGGUCGCUGGAAUUCGUGGUGUAGCGGUGAAAUGCGUAGAUAUCACGAGGAACACCAGAGGCGUAGGCGGGCGACUGGACGAGAACUGACGCUGAGGCACGAAAGCGUGGGGAGCAAACAGGAUUAGAAACCCCAGUAGUCC